rnacentral:miRNA from 1 species
AGGGGUGGAAGGGGCCUCGGAGAGUCUCAGGCUACCUAGAGUCACACACUGAGUUGGUGGCUGGGUUGGAACUAGAAUCCAGGUCAUGUGACUCCCAGUUCAGGAUCACUCUCACCUUGCUCACUUGUGCA